AGCUAAUACUUGCUUUAGCACUCUUGAUUAAGUUCUUGAGUGUGUACUUGUUAAGCCUUUUAAGAGAAAAGUUAUUAACUUAAGGAAUUAUAACAAAGAAGUAACACGUAAUGGAUCCGUCCAUUUUUAGUGUGUAUCAAUCGAGUUUCUGACCUAUCAGCUUUUGAUGUUAGGGUAUUGGCCUAACAUGGCUAUGACGGGUAACGGGGAAUUAGAGUUCGAUUCCGGAGAGGGAGCCUGAGAAAUAGCUACCACAUCUAAGGAAGGCAGCAGGCGCGUAAAUUACCCAAUUCUAAAGAAGAGAGGUAGUGACAAGAAAUAACAAUACAAGGCCAAUCUGGCUUUGUAAUUGGAAUGAUGGGAAUUUAAAACCUUCCCAAAACUCAAUUGGAGGGCAAGUCUGGUGCCAGCAGCCGCGGUAAUUCCAGCUCCAAUAGCGUAUAUUAAAAUUGUUGCAGUUAAAACGCUCGUAGUUGAAUUUCAAAGAAUCGAUACUUUAAGUAACGCUUUUAGCUUAAUCCACAUAACUGAUACUACGUAUCGACUUUGUGCGCAUUUUGCUAUUAUGUGUUCUUUUAAUUAAAAUGAUUCUUUUUAAGAUCUUUCUUUUGCUUCGGCAUUUGAAGAUCUUGUUACUUUGAGUAAAUUAGAGUGUUCAAAGCAAACAGAUAUAGCAUUGCGCGUUUGAAUACUACAGCAUGGAAUAACAAAAUUGAACAAGUCAGAAUUUUGUUCUUUUUUCUUAUUUUGGCUUAGUUACGAUUAAUAGGAGUAGCUUGGGGGCAUUUGUAUUCAGAUGUCAGAGGUGAAAUUCUUAGAUUUUCUGGAGACAAACAACUGCGAAAGCAUUUGCCUAAAAUACUUCCAUUAAUCAAGAACGAAAGUUAAGGGAGUGAAGACGAUCAGAUACCGUCGUAAUCUUAACCAUAAACUAUGCCGACUAGGCUUUGGAUGAAAGAUUUUAAAAUAAGA
rnacentral:rRNA from 1 species